rnacentral:rRNA from 1 species
UAAUACGUAGGGUGCGAGCGUUAAUCGGAAUUACUGGGCGUAAAGCGUGCGUAGGCGGUUCGCUGUGUCUGUCGUGAAAGCCCCGGGCUUAACCUGGGAAUGGCGAUGGAAACUGGCGAGCUUGAGUGUGGCAGAGGGGGGUGGAAUUCCGCGUGUAGCAGUGAAAUGCGUAGAGAUGCGGAGGAACACCGAUGGCGAAGGCAGCCCCCUGGGCUAACACUGACGCUCAGGCACGAAAGCGUGGGGGGCAAACA